rnacentral:rRNA from 1 species
UGAGAAGGCUAGGCCAGCUUGGCGUUGGUUGUCCAAGUUUAAGGUGGUAGGCUGAAAUCUUAGGUAAAUCCGGGGUUUCAAGGCCGAGAGCUGAUGACGAGUCGUCUUUUAGAUGACGAAGUGGUUGAUGCCAUGCUUCCAAGAAAAGCUUCUAAGCUUCAGGUAACCAGGAACCGUACCCCAAACCGACACAGGUGGUCGGGUAGAGAAUACCAAGGCGCUUGAGAGAACUCGGGUGAAGGAACUAGGCAAAAUGGCACCGUAACUUCGGGAGAAGGUGCGCCGGCUAGGGUGAAGGAUUUACUCCGUAAGCUCUGGCUGGUCGAAGAUACCAGGCCGCUGCGACUGUUUAUUAAAAACACAGCACUCUGCAAACACGAAAGUGGACGUAUAGGGUGUGACGCCUGCCCGGUGCCGGAAGGUUAAUUGAUGGGGUUAGCGCAAGCGAAGCUCUUGAUCGAAGCCCCGGUAAACGGCGGCCGUAACAAUAACGGUCCUAAGGUAGCGAAAUUCCUUGUCGGGUAAGUUCCGACCUGCACGGAUGGCGUAACGAUGGCGGCGCUGUCUCCACCCGAGACUCAGUGAAAUUGAAAUCGCUGUGAAGAUGCAGUGUAUCCGCGGCUAGACGGAAAGACCCCGUGAACCUUUACUGUAGCUUUGCACUGGACUUUGAGCCUGCUUGUGUAGGAUAGGUGGGAGGCUUUGAAGCGUGGACGCCAGUUCGCGUGGAGCCAUCCUUGAAAUACCACCCUGGCAUGCUUGAGGUUCUAACUCUGGUCCGUAAUCCGGAUCGAGGACAGUGUAUGGUGGGCAGUUUGACUGGGGCGGUCUCCUCCUAAAGAGUAACGGAGGAGUACGAAGGUGCGCUCAGACCGGUCGGAAAUCGGUCGCAGAGUAUAAAGGCAAAAGCGCGCUUGACUGCGAGACAGACACGUCGAGCAGGUACGAAAGUAGGUCUUAGUGAUCCGGUGGUUCUGUAUGGAAGGGCCAUCGCUCAACGGAUAAAAGGUACUCCGGGGAUAACAGGCUGAUACCGCCCAAGAGUUCAUAUCGACGGCGGUGUUUGGCACCUCGAUGUCGGCUCAUCACAUCCUGGGGCUGAAGCCGGUCCCAAGGGUAUGGCUGUUCGCCAUUUAAAGUGGUACGCGAGCUGGGUUUAGAACGUCGUGAGACAGUUCGGUCCCUAUCUGCCGUGGACGUUUGAGAUUUGAGAGGGGCUGCUCCUAGUACGAGAGGACCGGAGUGGACGAACCUCUGGUGUUCCGGUUGUCACGCCAGUGGCAUUGCCGGGUAGCUAUGUUCGGAAAAGAUAACCGCUGAAAGCAUCUAAGCGGGAAACUUGCCUCAAGAUGAGAUCUCACUGGGAACUUGAUUCCCCUGAAGGGCCGUCGAAGACUACGACGUUGAUAGGCUGGGUGUGUAAGCGUUGUGAGGCGUUGAGCUAACCAGUACUAAUUGCC